rnacentral:rRNA from 1 species
CAGUGGCAGACGGGUGCGUAACACGUGAGGAACCUGUCCGGUGGCGGGGGAUAGCCGGCCCAACGGCCGGGUAAUACCGCAUACGCUCGUUUGGGGGCAUCCCUGGGCGAGGAAAGCAGCCGCAAGGUUGCGCCGACGGAGGGUCUCGCGGCCUAUCAGCUUGUUGGCGGGGUCACGGCCCACCAAGGCGACGACGGGUAGCUGGUCUGAGAGGAUGAUCAGCCACAUUGGGACUGAGACACGGCCCAGACUCCUACGGGAGGCAGCAGUGGGGAAUAUUGCGCAAUGGCCGCAAGGCUGACGCAGCGACGCCGCGUGUGGGAUGACGGUCUUCGGAUUGUAAACCACUGUCAGGGGGAACGAAUACCAGGCGUCGAAUAGGCGACCUGGGGUGACGGUACCUCCAAAGGAAGCACCGGCUAACUCCGUGCCAGCAGCCGCGGUAAUACGGAGGGUGCGAGCGUUGUCCGGAAUCACUGGGCGUAAAGGGCGCGUAGGUGGUUCGGUAAGUUGCUGGUGAAAUCCCGGGGCUCAACUCCGGGGCUGCCGGCAUGACCGCCGAACUUGAGCACGGUAGGGGCAGAUGGAAUUCCCGGUGUAGCGGUGGAAUGCGUAGAGAUCGGGAAGAAUACCAGUGGCGAAGGCGUUCUGCUGGGCCGUUGC